rnacentral:rRNA from 1 species
UACGUAGGUGGCGAGCGUUGUCCGGAUUUACUGGGUGUAAAGCGCGUGUAGGCGGGUGGCCAAGUCUGUGGUGAAAUCGCUCGGCUUAACUGGGCGGGGUCCAUGGAAACUGGUCACCUGGAGGUCGGUAGAGGCAAGUGGAAUUCCCGGUGUAGUGGUGAAAUGCGUAGAGAUCGGGAGGAACACCAGUGGCGAAGGCGGCUUGCUGGGCCGGACCUGACGCUGAGGUGCGAAAGCGUGGGGAGCAAACAGG